GAAGAUGAUGAGAUGUAUUGUCGCCCCAGUCUUACUUGUACCAAUGGGUACCAGAUGGUGAUUGACACAGUAUCUGAUUC